GACGAACGCUGGCGGCGUGCUUAACACAUGCCAGUCGAACGGUGAAGCGAGUGCUUGCACUCGUGGAUCAGUGGCGAACGGGUGAGUAGCACGUGAGUAACCUGCACAUCACUCUGGGAUAAGCACUGGAAACGGUGUCUAAUACUGGAUACGACCAACCCUUGCAUGGGGUGUUGGUGGAAAGAUUUAUCGGUGAUGGAUGGACUCGCGGCCUAUCAGCUUGUUGGCGGGGUAAUGGCCCACCAAGGCGACGACGGGUAGCCGGCCUGAGAGGGUGACCGGCCACACUGGGACUGAGACACGGCCCAGACUCCUACGGGAGGCAGCAGUGGGGAAUAUUGCACAAUGGGCGAAAGCCUGAUGCAGCGACGCCGCGUGAGGGAUGACGGCCUUCGGGUUGUAAACCUCUUUCAGCAGGGAAGAAGCGAAAGUGACGGUACCUGCAGAAGAAGCACCGGCUAACUACGUG
rnacentral:rRNA from 1 species